rnacentral:rRNA from 1 species
GAUGAACGCUGGCGGCGUGCCUAAUACAUGCAAGUCGAGCGAACGGACGAGAAGCUUGCUUCUCUGAUGUUAGCGGCGGACGGGUGAGUAAUACGUGGAUAACCUACCUAUAAGACUGGGAGAACUUCGGGAAACCAGAGCUACUACCGGGUGAUAUUUUGAACCGCAUGGUUCAAAAGUGUAAGACGGUCUUGCUUUCACUUAUAGAUGGAUCCGCGCUGGAUUAGCUAGUUGGUAAGGUAACGGCUUACCAAGGCAACGAUGCAUAGCCGACCUGAGAGGGUGGUCGGCCACACUGGAACUGAGACACGGUCCAGACUCCUACGGGAGGCAGCAGUAGGGAAGCUUCCGGAAUGGGCGGAAGCCUGACGGAGCAACGCCGCGGGAGUGAUGAAGGUCUUCGGAUCGUAAAACUCUGUUAUUAGGGAAGAACAUAUGUGUAAGUGACUGUGCACAUCUUGACGGUACCUAAACAGAAAGCCACGGCUAACUACGUG